rnacentral:lncRNA from 1 species
GGCGGCGCCCUGUGCCCAGGGCGCGUCCGGCCGCUCCUCGCCGCGGGCCGCCCGGGGACGUGUGGGCGCCGAGGGCGCUUGGGCUCUGAGCACUGCGGGGCUGCGGGCUCGGCGCCCCGGGGAGGCGGGCGCGUGGCCGCCAGAGCGAGUGCCCCAGCCAGCUGCGAUCGCGGGAGACCGUCCGUUUCCCCGGAGGGAGUCGCGAAUUCAGGCCCCGGGAAGUGGGCGAGGACAGGAUUUGGGGUGCGCACUGACUCUCCUUGGAGGAGACGUUUACCCAGCGGCAGCUCGGUCUCGUUUCGCUACCACGCCAGGCUUCCGGUCAGAGGAGGGUUUUCUCCGUCUCUUGGUGAACUUGAACGGAGGCUCGGCAACGGCGAAACGUACGUAUUUUGUCCAGAAGAUUACCCCAAGAAGAGCUUUGUAUCUUUCUAAGUGUAGAUGGAGACUCAAGACUAGAGGCUGCUAAUUGCUUUUAUUUCCGUUUCUCCUGAGAAGCCUCCUGGGGAUCCGUGCCCCAGGGUAACCUCCAGGGUGUCUGUUUUCCUGAGCAUCUGUGCCCAGGAUUGCUGCCUGCUCCAUGCUGGCUCGCCCAUGGGGAGGCAGGGUUGGAGAGGGAGCCCUCUGACCCUUCUCUGAG